rnacentral:rRNA from 1 species
UGGGGAAUAUUGCACAAUGGGCGCAAGCCUGAUGCAGCCAUGCCGCGUGUGUGAAGAAGGCCUUCGGUUGUAAAGCACUUCAGCGAGGAGGAAGGUGGUGGACUUAAUACGUUCAUCAAUUGACGUUACUCGCAGAAGAAGCACCGGCUAACUCCGCGCCAGCAGCCGCGGUAAUACGGAGGGUGCAAGCGUUAAUCGGAAUUACUGGGCGUAAAGCGCNCGCAGGCGGUUUGUUAAGUCAGAUGUGAAAUCCCCGGGCUCAACCUGGGAACUGCAUUUGAAACUGGCAAGCUAGAGUCUCGUAGAGGGGGGUAGAAUUCCAGGUGUAGCGGUGAAAUGCGUAGAGAUCUGGAGGAAUACCGGUGGCGAAGGCGGCCCCCUAGACGAAGACUGACGCUCAGGUGCGAAAGCGUGGGGAGCAAACAGGAUUAGAUACCCCUGGUAGUCCACGCUGUAAACGAUGUCGAUUUUGGAGGUUGUGCCCUUGAGGCGUGGCUUCCGGAGCUAACGCGUUAAAUCGACCGCCUGGGG